CCUACGGGGGGCAGCAGUGGGGAAUAUUGGACAAUGGGCGAAAGCCUGAUCCAGCCAUGCCGCGUGUGUGAAGAAGGCCUUCGGGUUGUAAAGCACUUUCAGUGGGGAAGAAAGCCUUGGGGCUAAUACCCUCGAGGAAGGACAUCACCCACAGAAGAAGCACCGGCUAACUCCGUGCCAGCAGCCGCGGUAAUACGGAGGGUGCGAGCGUUAAUCGGAAUUACUGGGCGUAAAGCGCGCGUAGGCGGUCUGAUAAGCCGGUUGUGAAAGCCCCGGGCUCAACCUGGGAACGGCAUCCGGAACUGUCAGGUUAGAGUGCAGGAGAGGAAGGUAGAAUUCCCGGUGUAGCGGUGAAAUGCGUAGAGAUCGGGAGGAAUACCAGUGGCGAAGGCGGCCUUCUGGACUGACACUGACGCUGAGGUGCGAAAGCGUGGGUAGCAAACAGGAUUAGAUACCCGAGUAGUC
rnacentral:rRNA from 1 species